GGCCCAUACUCAUCCAUUACCCCAUAAACACUUCCCCACCGUCUGUUAAAAUCCACGAUCAGCAAAAGCGCGGGAAACUGAAAUAUUAUCUCCGAACCAAGAAGUACAAAACGGCACCAGGCUGAGCCAGAGCGAUUCACUCAGUCAGUUUUCGCGUUUCGUUGCUCGUGCGAGAAGCUAAGACGCAGCGUUUCAUCUCUCUCCCUCUCUCUCUCUUUCUCUCUCUCUCUCUCUCGAUCGGAGCUACCUUAGCGUGCUAAGGUUUCUGGAUUUUGUUGGAAUGGCCCCGAGGAAACGCAAGCUGACUGCGCAAGAGAAAGAGCAGGUGGCAAGGGUCGGGGCCCAGUUGGAGGCGCUGGUGGCUAGGGACACCGCUCGGGGGGGAUCCGCUCAGCGAGUGACCCGGAGUUUGACUCAGACAGCUGCCAGUGGGAGCUCGGCUGAGCCCCGGCCAGUGGCGCCGGCGAGGAAGAAGGCCAAGGGAGCUCAGAAGAAGAAGGAGCCGGCCAAGAAAGUGAAGCCGGCGGCGGAAGAAGCGGAAGGGGAGGCUGUGAAGGAAGAGAAGGAGAACUCCGUCGAGAGCGAGGCAGAGGCCGAAGCGGAGAACAAGAACGAGAAAGGGAAAGAGAAACUGGAGGACAAGAACGCGAAAGGGAAAGAGAAAGUGGAGGACGACGGAGAAGCAACGAAGCAUACUGGCAACGAGUGGGACAAGAGGACCAUUGUGAUUGAGCACUGCAGGCAAUGCAAGUCAUUCAAGACAAGAGCUGAUGAGGUGAAAGAUAGUUUGGAGAAAGGUGUUCCUGGCAUCAAAGUUCUACUAAACCCUGAUAAGCCAAGAAAAGGAUGCUUUGAGAUACGGGAGGAAGGCGGCGAGACAUUCAUCAGUCUUCUGGACAUGGAACGACCAUUUUCAGAAAUGGAGGAGCUGAACAUGGAGGACGUCAUUGCCGAUAUAAUUGAGAAGAUCAAAUGAACAAUGUAAUACAUGGCAUGCCAGAGGAGUUUUUUGUUAGUAGGGGUAACUGUCUUUUUGGGGGGUAACCAAGUUCAUUUGGUGUUUUACAUUUGAUCGUAUAGUUGCACCUGGUGAGGCCAACGAUCUGGAUAUAUUUUGAAAAGGCUCGAAAGAUUAGACGUUGCAUACAAGCGAAUCAAUGUCUCCGUCUUUCAGUUUUCGGGAAUGAAGAUGACCAACAACGUUCCACGAAGAAUGAGAGGGACCCCAUUACCAUCCCAAUGCAUAGGAAUCUCGAAGCCAGCGGAGUCGAAGCAGAAUCCUCAGGAGGUGGUAGUGCUGACUGCUGCCCAGCAGCUUCAGGGGACGGACCACGCUUGAAUAUUUU